rnacentral:rRNA from 1 species
ACUGAACGCUUUCUUCAUUCCUAACACAUGCAAGUCGAACGGUAACAGGAAGCAGCUUGCUGCUUCGCUGACGAGUGGCGGACGGGUGAGUAAUGUCUGGGAAACUGCCUGAUGGAGGGGGAUAACUACUGGAAACGGUAGCUAAUACCGCAUAACGUCGCAAGACCAAAGAGGGGGACCUUAGGGCCUCUUGCCAUCGGAUGUGCCCAGAUGGGAUUAGCUAGUAGGUGGGGUAACGGCUCACCUAGGCGACGAUCCCUAGCUGGUCUGAGAGGAUGACCAGCCACACUGGAACUGAGACACGGUCCAGACUCCUACGGGAGGCAGCAGUGGGGAAUAUUGCACAAUGGGCGCAAGCCUGAUGCAGCCAUGCCGCGUGUAUGAAGAAGGCCUUCGGGUUGUAAAGUACUUUCAGCGGGGAGGAAGGGAGUAAAGUUAAUACCUUUGCUCAUUGACGUUACCCGCAGAAGAAGCACCGGCUAACUCCGUG